AUGGAUCGAUUCUUUGUUGGAACUGAAGCUUAUAGCCCUCUUAUCCUUGCUGCACCACGGGGAACUAUCAUCCAUCAGAUGUUAUCGGUGGUAUGUCAGAAGGCGCAGACGAUCAGUGAGCCCUCUUACUGCUUCAAAAUGCUCUCUCAGAAUCUAACCUUCAACUCCAGCGAGCCUUUGGAGAACAAGUGGGGACACUGCGGACACGUAACACCAGGUAUUAUAGUCUGGGCGUUUUUCAGCGCUCUCUUCUCUCUGGUUGGAUUUCCUGCAUGUGCUGCUGUUCUCUGGGAGCUGUUUCAGAGACACAGAGCUGGAACCUCGAUCACCCCCAACGAUGUUUUCAUGAUCAACCUCACCGUCAUGGACCUGGUCUUCCUAUUUUUUGUCCCACUUGGCCUGACUAACUUCCUCCUCUGGCGCAUCAUGUCUUUCCAGAGCUUCAUCAGUUUUCUCUAUGCUCUAAACCUGGCUGGACGACCUCUUCUAACAGCAUGCAUCUGUCUGGACUGCUACAUGGCUGUGUUCCAUCCCAUCGCCUACAGCACAAAGAAGAGUCUGACUCCCCGGGUCCUUAUGGCUGCUGCUGUGUGGACUGCUACCAUGGUUCAAGGGUCCAUGUCCAUAGUUGAUAAAGAUCUAAAUCACAGUGCAUGGGCCACGUUUGUGUACAUCAUUGCGCUCCCCAUAAUUGUAAUCUGUGAUGCUUCCAUCCUCUGGACCCUGAAGAAGUCCUACCGCAGAGGGGGAGACCUCCAUCCCAGGAAGAAGAAGGCUCUCCAGAUCAUCACCAACAGCAUGGUCAUGACCAUCACCUCAUAUUUCCCCCCAGUGCUGCUGUACGUCUUUGGGCAUUUCAUUGUCACAGAUGACAACGAAUACGAGUGCGUCUUAGCAAUGCCCAUCUUGAUCAUCCCGACUGCAGGGAGUGCAGUCAUGCCUUUGCUGUAUUUGGGCAAUCUGGGGAGGUUGAAUAAUCUUUGCUGUUAGGAAGGAUUUGCAUAUAUAAAGGUGUAGUACAGGUCUGGUGCGAUAAAAGCAGAACAGAUUUAUUUUAUAUUUAAUCAUUUUAAAAUUAUUAAAGCAGAAAAUAAAGGAUUAAAAAUAGAAGUUGCUUGAAAAAUGGCAGAAGAAUGAAGCAGAAUAGUAAUUCAGCAGAUAAUAUAUAAUAUAAAAUAUCAUUUUAUGCAUUUGUAGUUGAUUGCACAGACAGAAAAAAUAACUGGAGUUGUUCCAUCUUAGUGCACUCAAUGCAUGUAUCAUCCAGACUGUUUGAAAGAACGAGAAAAGUUAUUUCUCUCCACUGCUCACAGACAUAAAACACAUAUAUCACAUAUAGCUUUUGAUGCCUCUUGUUAAUUUUACAUUAUUACUUUUCACAUUGUUACAACUAUAUUCCAUUUUUUAAAUAUAUAUCUAUAUAUAAAUAUAUAUAAACAUAUGGAUGUACUUUGUUGUAAACUGGAGAAAUGCACCUUUGGUUUCGCUCGUAUAUUUGAAUAAUGCAAAUACAUACAAUUUUCCCCACAAUUUUCACAUUACUUAACAUGUUAUUGUUUCCUACGACUUCUGCACUGAGUUAUGAAAACGAUGUUUGCUUAUACCUGCACACCUGUGUGAAGAUGAGUGUCAUGAAAGAUGACCUGCCUGCCUUCAACAUUUACAUUUGUAACGUGAUCAUUCACCCGAUGAAGCUCAUGUAAAUCGAUCAUGGAAAAUAAGUUCUUGAUUUCCCAAAGUUUUCCAGUCUAUAGGCUUGUAAAUGGCAGCAGGACCUUUUUUCUUACCUCUUUAUUGGACUUUUUCAUUCAGUUUAUCAGAUUAAAAUCUCAGUCUGAGAUUCUAGAGUUUGUUUUUCUCUGAUAGUAUCUGCAUCUAAAAGCUAAUAAAGGUUUUAUGUCACCAAA
ensembl:lncRNA